UACGGAGGAUGCAAGCGUUAUCCGGAAUGAUUGGGCGUAAAGCGUCCGCAGGUGGCUAUGUAAGUCUGCUGUUAAAGAGUGAGGCUCAACCUCAUAAGAGCAGUGGAAACUACAUGGCUAGAGUGCGUUCGGGGCAGAGGGAAUUCCUGGUGUAGCGGUGAAAUGCGUAGAGAUCAGGAAGAACACCCGAGGCGAAGGCGGCUCCCUGGGUCGUACCUGACGCUGAGGCGCGAAAGCGUGGGGAGCGAACAGG
rnacentral:rRNA from 1 species